UCUCUAUUCUGCUCUGUGUCAGUGUGUAUCAUGGUCUCUGAGGACAGGUGUCAAUCCAUAUCUGCCAAGUGACCCUAUGUAGGGGGAACAGUCCCUAUUCUGCUCUGUGUCAGUGUGUAUCAGGGAUCCUGAGGACAGGUGUCAAUCCAUAUCUGCCAAGUGACCCUAUGUAGGGGGAACAGUCCCUAUUCUGCUCUGUGUCAGUGUGUAUCAGGGAUCCUGAGGAUAGGUGUCAAUCCAUAUCUGCCAAGUGACCCUAUGUAGGGGGAACAGUCCCUAUUCUGCUCUGUGUCAGUGUGUAUCAGGGAUCGUUAGGAUAGGUGUCAAUCCAUAUCUGCCAAGUGACCCUAUGUAGGGGGAACAGUCCCUAUUCUGCUCUGUGUCAGUGUGUAUCAGGGGCUCUGAGGACAGGUGCCAAUCCAUAUCUGCCAAGUGACCCUAUGUAGGGGGAACAGUCUCUAUUCUGCUCUCUGUCAGUGUGUAUCAUGGUCUUUGAGGACAGGUGUCAAUCCAUAUCUGCCAAGUGACCCUAUGUAGGGGGAACAGUCUCUAUUCUGCUCUGUGUCAGUGUGUAUCAUGGUCUCUGAGGACAGGUGUCAAUCCAUAUCUGCCAAGUGACCCUAUGUAGGAGGAACAGUCCCUAUUCUGCUCUGUGUCAGUGUGUAUCAGGGAUCCUUAGGACAGGUGUCAAUCCAUAUCUGCCAAGUGACCCUAUGUAGG